AGGAUUCCCCUAGUAACUGCGAGUGAAGCGGGAAAAGCUCAAAUUUAAAAUCUGGCAGUCUUUGGCUGUCCGAGUUGUAAUCUAGAGAAGUAUUAUCCGCGCUGGACCGUGUACAAGUCUCCUGGAAUGGAGCGUCAUAGAGGGUGAGAAUCCCGUCUUUGACACGGAUUGCCAGGGCUUUGUGAUGUGCUCUCGAAGAGUCGAGUUGUUUGGGAAUGCAGCUCAAAAUGGGUGGUAAAUUCCAUCUAAAGCUAAAUAUUGGCGAGAGACCGAUAGCGAACAAGUACCGUGAGGGAAAGAUGAAAAGAACUUUGGAAAGAGAGUUAAACAGUACGUGAAAUUGCUGAAAGGGAAACGCUUGAAGUCAGUCGCGUUGGCCAGGGAUCAACCUUGCUUUUUUGCUUGGCUUACUUUCUGGUCGAUGGGUCAGCAUCAAUUUUGACUGGUGGAAAAAGUUCAAGGGAAUGUGGCAUCUUCGGAUGUGUUAUAGCCUUUGUUCAUAUAUAUCAGUUGGGAUUGAGGAACUCAGCACGCCGCAAGGCCGGGUUUUUAACCACGUACGUGCUUAGGAUGCUGGCAUAAUGGCUUUAAUCGACCCGUCUUGAAACACGGACCAAGGAGUCUAACAUGCCUGCGAGUGUUUGGGUGAAAAACCCGAGCGCGUAAUGAAAGUGAAAGUUGAGAUCCCUGUCGUGGGGAGCAUUGACGCCCGGAUCUGACCUUUUGUGACGAUUCUGCGGUAGAGCAUGUAUGUUGGGACCCGAAAGAUGGUGAACUAUGCCUGAAUAGGGUGAAGCCAGAGGAAACUCUGGUGGAGGCUCGUAGCGAUUCUGACGUGCAAAUCGAUCGUCAAAUUUGGGUAUAGGGGCGAAAGACUAAUC
rnacentral:rRNA from 1 species